GACGAACGCUGGCGGCGUGCUUAACACAUGCAAGUCGAGCGGAAAGGCUCCUUCGGGGGUACUCGAGCGGCGAACGGGUGAGUAACACGUGAGUAAUCUGCCCUGCGCUCUGGGAUAGCCACCGGAAACGGUGAUUAAUACCGGAUAUGACCGCUACACGCAUGUGUUGGUGGUGGAAAGUUUUUCGGCGCAGGAUGUGCUCGCGGCCUAUCAGCUUGUUGGUGAGGUAAUGGCUCACCAAGGCUUUGACGGGUAGCCGGCCUGAGAGGGUGACCGGUCACACUGGGACUGAGACACGGCACAGACUCCUACGGGAGGCAGCAGUGGGGAAUAUUGGACAAUGGGCGGAAGCCUGAUCCAGCAACGCCGCGUGAGGGAUGACGGCCUUCGGGUUGUAAACCUCUUUCAGUACCGACGAAGCGAAAGUGACGGUAGGUACAGAAGAAGGACCGGCCAACUACGUGCCAGCCGCCGCGGUAACAC
rnacentral:rRNA from 1 species